rnacentral:rRNA from 1 species
GAUGAACGCUAGCGGCAGGCUUAAUACAUGCAAGUCGAGGGGCAGCGCAGUGUAGCAAUACAUGGGCGGCGACCGGCAAACGGGUGCGGAACACGUACACAACCUUCCUACAAGUGGGGAAUAGCCCAGAGAAAUUUGGAUUAAUACCCCGUAACAUAGCGAUGUGGCAUCACAUUGCUAUUAUAGCUUCGGCGCUUGUUGAUGGGUGUUCGGCUGAUUAGAUAGUUGGCGGGGUAACGGCCCACCAAGUCUACGAUCAGUAGCUGAUGUGAGGGCAUGUUCAGCCACACGGGCACUGAGACACGGGCCCGACUCCUACGGGAGGCAGCAGUAAGGAAUAUUGGACAAUGGACGCAAGUCUGAUCCAGCCAUGCCGCGUGAAGGAUUAAGGUCCUCUGGAUUGUAAACUUCUUUUAUAAGGGACGAAAAAAGGUCUUUCUAGAUCGUCUGACGGUACCUUAUGAAUAAGCACCGGCUAACUCCGUGCCAGCCGCCGCCGUAAGAC